AUGUGCCUGGUCAGCAGCAGGGCUCUGGGGCUGAGGCAGGGAUGCAGCAGGUGGGACGGGGGCACACGGGCUGGCAGAGCAGGGACACGGAGGAGGCCGGGCGGCAACAGCUGGGCUGGCAGGAAGAGGUGGGCACACAGCAGGUGGGGCGGCACACGGGCCGGCACAAGAGGGACACGGAGGAGGAGGAGGGUCUGCAGCAGGGGGAGGCCUCACAGCAGACGGGCCUGCAGCAGACAGGCCUGCAGCAGACAGGCUCACAGUAGGCCUGCUGGCAGGGGGAGGAGGUACAGCUGGACUGCUGGCAACAUGAGGAGGCAGAACAGGGGGAGGCUUCAUAGCACACAGGUGUGCAACAGACAGGUGUGCAGCAGACAGGCCUGCAGCAGACGGGCCUGCAGCAGACGGGCGCGGCAGGAGGUUGGGCAGGAGCUGCUGCAGGCUGCCUGGCAGCAGGGGCUGGACUCGCAGCUCACUGGGGCACAGAGGAGGGUCAGGCGGGGGACUGGGGCGCAGCAGCUGGGGGCACAGCAGGGGGGCUCGCAGCAGCUCUCUGGACAGUCAUAGCUCAUGUCGCUGGAGCAGACGGACAGGGUGGAGGCAGCCAUGGUGGAGGUGAUGGGGCUGGAGGAGGUGUGAGUGUGUGAGGGAGUGGAUGGGUGAGGCUGUGUGAUGUUCUUAGGUGGCUGGAGCUUAUAUACAGCUCUGGGGAGGUGGGGGGGGGUGUUGUUGCAUCACGGGGGCCCAACAGAGUCUGCUUCCUUGUUGUUGGAGCAGGUCCUGAGGACGCGCGUCAUAAUCCCGUGACAGGUCACUCAACUCGUUAAACUCCUGAGAGGUUGGAGCCCAGGGGAUCCAUGGGGAAGGGGUCCAGCCCCAGGGGCGGUGUCCAGUCUGCUGGAGUCCAUCCUGUGGGUGGACUCUAGACGGCCGUCCUCACAGCCCCACCACCAAGCAUCUUUCUGGGGCUUCUCGCUAUUAUUCCCUUAUUCUCAGCACUCAGUUGAAUCACUAGCAUGUUUUGUUCUUUUUAAAUACUCUCUUCAUUGACAUGUUAUUUUCUCCUGAAUUCAUACACCAAUGAAGGGUGCGUUGAGCAUCAUGUUAGCUAUGGAUUUCUCAUAUAUCCCUUUUAUGAUGCUGAAGAACUUCUCUUCUAUUCCUAAUUCUCUGAGUAUUUUUUUAAAUUGUGAAAUUGUGUUGGCUUUUGUCAAAAUCCUUUUCUGCAUCAGUUGAGAUCAUGUGUUCUAAAGAUUAUUUAUUUUAUAUAUUUUUAAAGUUUUGGUCGCCCCGGCUCUUUGUUCCUGUGGGAGGGCUUCCUCUUAUUGUGGAGCACAGGCUCUAGGAACAUGGGCCUCAUUAGCUGGGGCACAGGCGCUCAGGAGCUGUGGCUCAUGGGCUUCGUUGCUGUGUGGCACAUGGAAUCUUCCUGAACCAGGGAUUGAACCUGUGUCCUCUGCACUGGCACGUAGAUUCUUCUUCACUGUACCACCAGGGUAGUCUGAGAACUUGUAUCUUUUCUUCCUUCAUUCUGUUAAUGUGGUAUUUUACAUUGGUUGAUUUUUUUAAAAAAAAAAUGUUGAGCCAACCUUGCAUUCCUGGUAUAAAUGGCACUUGGUAUGGUAUAUAAUAAUUUUGGUAUGCUCUUGGAGUUACGUUUCUAGUGUUUUGUGGAGCAUCUUUGCAUCUAUGUUCAUAAAGUAUAUUGGUGAAUAUUUUUCCUUACUUCUGGGAAAUGCUGGCAUCACAGAGUGAGUUAGGAAGUGUUCUCUUGUCUGGCUUUUGGAAAAGCCUGAGAAGGUUUGGUGUUAAUUUAUUAUACGCUGGUAGAAUUCACCAGUGAAGCCAUCUGGUCCUAGCCUUUUUUUCCCUUGUGAGAUUAUUAAUUAAUAAUUCUAUUUUGUUAUAGGUCUAUUGAGAUUUUCUGUUUUUUUUUUAGUCAGUUUUGUUAAUUUGUGUAUUUAUGGAAAAUUCUUUAUUUCAUCUAGGUUAUAAUUCAUUGGCAUACAAAAUUGUCCUUGGUAUUCUUUUAUAAUGCUUUUUAUUUCUCUGAGGUUCAUGGUAAUAUCCGUACUUUCAAUUCAGAAUUUAGUUAUUGUACCUUCUCUCUUUUUUUCUUUGCUAGUCUAUCUGUAUAUCUUUCCAAGGAGUCAAACUUGGUUUUGUUAAUUCUCUGCUGUUUUUCUGUCUGUUAUGCCAUGUAUUUUCACUCUGAUUUCAGUACUUCCUUCCUUCUAUCUUUAGAUUUAGUUUGCUCUUUUCUAGUUUCUCAGGGUAUAAAGUUAGUUUAUUGAUUUGGGGUCAUUCUUUUUAAAAUAUUUAUUUAAUAUUUGGCUGCACUGGGUCUUAGUUGUGGCAUGUGGGGUCUUCUUUGCAGUGUACAGGUUUCUUUCUAGUUGAGGUGUGGCUUACUUAGUUUCCUGACCAUGAAUCAAACCCGCAUACCCUGUAUUGGAGGGCAGAUUUUCAACCACUGGACUACCAGUGAAGUCCCCAUUCUUCUUUUUUUAAAAGUAGGCAUUUAGAGGCUUAAAUGCCCCUCUGCCUGCCUUCACUGCAUCCCAUAGGUUUGACACAUCGUAUUUUCAUUUUAAUUCAUUAUUAGUAUUUUCUAAUUUCCUAACUUUUGUCUUUGACCCCCAUUAAAAAAAUCUGUUGUUUAACUUCCACAUAUUGUGAGUUUUCUAGUUUCUUUCUGUUAUUGAUAUCUAAUUUCAUUCCCUUGUGAUUGGAAAAGACCCUUUGUAUGAUUUCAGUUUUUUUUUUUUUUAAUUCACUAAGGCUUGUUUUGUGUCCUAUAUAUGGCUUGUCCUGGAGAGCAUUUAAUGCGCUGUUGAUGGGUGAUGUAUUCUGUGUGUUUGUUUUGACUAGUUGAUUUGCAGUGUUUUUCAAGUCCUCUGUUUCCUUCUUGAUCUCCCUAGAUGUUUUGUCCAUUAUUGAACAUGGGGUAUCCAAGGCUUCACCUAUUAUCACAGAACUGUCUGGUUCUCACUUCAGUUCUGCCAACAUUUGCUUCAUAUAUUUUCGGGUCUCAGUUGUGUGGUGCAUAUAUAUUUUUAAUCCUUAUAUCAUCUUGAUGAAUUAAGUAUUUUAUUAAUACGUAGUGUCCUUCUCUCGUGCAUUUUUGUGGUUGGUAUAAUAUGGAUGAAUAGGUCCUUUGUAAGUGUUAUCUGUCAGUUUUUCAAUUCUUGGUGUGUUGACGGGGACUUAAGAAUUCUUGAAAAUAAUAAGUUUAUUAUAGAGGAAGAUAGCUAUAAGUCAUGGCUAGUUCUUUGCAGCCAAAGACGGAGAGGCUCUAGACAGUCAGCAAAAACAAGACCAGGAGCUGACUGUGGCUCAGAUCAUGAACUCUUUAUUGCCAAAUUUAGACUCAAAUUGAAGAAAGUAGGGAAAACCACUAGACCAUUCAGGUAGGACCUAAGUCAAAUCCAUAACAAUUAUAGAAUGAAAGUGAGAAAUAAAUUUAAGGGACUAGAUCUGAUUAGACAGAGUGCCUCAUGAACUAUGGAUGAAGGUUCAUGACAUUGUACAGGAGAUAGGGAACAAGACAAUCCCCAAGAAAAAGAAAUGCAAAAAAGCAAUAUGGCUGUCUGAGGAGGCCUUACAAAUAGCUGUGAAAAGAAGAGAGGCGAAAACAAACGAGAAAAGGAAAGAUAUACCCAUUUGAAUGCAGUGUUCCAAAGAAUAGCAAGGAGAGAUAAAAAAGCCUUCCUCAGUGAUCAGUGAAAAGAAAUAGAGGAAAACAAUAGAAUGGGAAAGACUAGAGAUCUCUUCAAGAAAACUAGAGGGAACAUUUUAUGCAAAGAUGGGUUCAAUAAAGGACAGAAAUGGUAUGGACCUAAGAGAAGCAGAAGAUAUUAAGAAGAGGUGGCAAGAAUGCACAGAAGUACAGUACAAAAAAGAUCUUCAUGACCCAGAUAAUCACGAUGGUAUGAUCACUCACCUAGAGCCAGACAUCCUGGAAUGUGAAGUCAAGUGGCCUUAGGAAGCAUCUCUAAGAAAAAAGCUUGUGGAGGUGAUGGAAUUCUAGUUGAGCUAUUUCGAAUCUUAAAAGAUGAGGCUGUGAAAGUGCUGC
ensembl:lincRNA